GUUUUGAACAUUUUGCGGUUGCAGUGAUUUUGCUUCUUUGAUAAUAAUAUCAUAGCGUAAAUUCGCCAAAGGGGUCAUAGGAAUAUUAACCUUACAGUUUUGGUGACUGGUAGGUCUUUCAAGCAGUCUGUUGGAAACAACUGUGAAGAUGAUGAAUCAGAAUUAUGCUUCACAUUACAAAGACUUACAUCGCAGGGACUUCUAGAAGAUGAGGUCGUUACACUUCCGCAGUUCACACAAAUACAUGCAAAUUUACCCACUCCUUUAAAACUUGCAGAGGAAAGAGCAGGUAUGUUGCCGGGUACCUAGGGAAGAAAAUUGGAAAACAAUAAUACAGGCAUAUAAUUAUUGCACGCAAAUAAACAGAAUAUCAAGGGGUUUAGAUAUGAGACAUAUCCCUGUACAUGAGUCAAAAAUGUUUAUUUCUGCUAGAAAAAUUUGCCAGGCUAGCAUUAAGCGACGCCGUAAGUAAAAGUAUCUCAAAAUCGGUGUCCCCUCUGUAUAUAGGUAUUUUAAGAACCAUUCACGAUACCCAUUUCUAACUUUAGUAAUAUUUAGUUUUCUUUUAAUAGUUAUAUA